AGCCGGGGCCGCCUCAGAACGCCCGCACUGCACGGGGAAGCAAGACCGACCACCAAGAGACUUAUCUGAGGGAAUGAGGCUGUACUAUCGCAUUCAGACCGCCUGUCGCCUUCAGGCGAGACAGCGCCCGAGCUGACCAGCUCUGAGCCCUUUCGUUGCUCUGUAAUGAAAUCCGAGCUUUCCACACACACAGGUGGUCAUUUCCAUCAGGAGUGUCCUUCCUGCCAAAGGCGAAGUGCUGCUUGUGCACCAGGGAGCCGGCGCUGGCAGCUCUUGCUGGUGUUAGGCCCAUAAGGUGGAAGAACGGCUGCUGGAGGUGGUGUGGUUUACGAUGAGAAGCACCCUUUGCCUUGCUUAAGGCAGAUUGGUGAUUAGCUGGACUGCUACUCUCACUCCAGUGUCUUGUCAACACUCCCUUGCUUGAGUGACAUUACUGGGUAGUACUAAAUGCUUUUUAAAGCGCCGUGAAAUUUCUUGGAUUAAACAGCUGAUGUGGAGUAACUCUUUUUCCACCAUCAAAACCCUUCAGCCAUGAUGAAGAACUGAAGGGAAAUCUGUGGUGCUGAAACACAAGAACACAAUUUCUCUUGUCUCAUAUGCUGCUGUUCUACAACUUUUAUUUUCAUUGCAAUUGAGAUCAAUGUCUGAAAGCUGUGUCCUUGGAAAGCUGGGGGGAAACGUAAGACGAGAAAGCUCUGAACAAAGUACCCACCUAAACUGGGCUAUUACAAGAGGACUGACAUACAAUGCCUGAUGUACUACGGAUGUUUGCUGACUUCAUUGUGGGAAUAAAGAACUGGUAACUGGCAAAAAAAUGUAAACUGACCUUCAGAUUAUGAGACUGACUGCUGACAAAUGAGGUAAUGUUACAGAAUGCCCUGUUGCCAGCAGGAGAGUGGAAAACACGCAAACUCUGAAGGUCAGCAGGAUGUAAAAACAAAAAACAGGUAUUAUGUAACUUCUUAAAAUAAAC